GAGGGUAUAGCUCAAGUGGUAGAGCACAUGCUCAAUAUGCAUGAGGUCCUGAGUUCAAUCCUCAGCACCUCCU
rnacentral:tRNA from 1 species